rnacentral:rRNA from 1 species
AUUGAACGCUGGCGGCAGGCCUAACACAUGCAAGUCGAGCGGGGUUUUCGGACCUAGCGGCGGACGGGUGAGUAAUGCGUAGGAAGCUACCCGAUAGAGGGGGAUACCAGUUGGAAACGACUGUUAAUACCGCAUAAUGUCUACGGACCAAAGUGUGGGACCUUCGGGCCACAUGCUAUCGGAUGCGCCUACGUGGGAUUAGCUAGUUGGUGAGGUAAUGGCUCACCAAGGCGACGAUCCCUAGCUGGUUUGAGAGGAUGAUCAGCCACACUGGAACUGAGACACGGUCCAGACUCCGACGGGAGGCAGCAGUGGGGAAUAUUGGACAAUGGGCGCAAGCCUGAUCCAGCCAUGCCGCGUGUGUGAAGAAGGCCUUCGGGUUGUAAAGCACUUUCAGUAGGGAGGAAGCGUUGUGUGUUAAUAGUACACAGCGUUGACGUUACCUACAGAAGAAGCACCGGCUAACUCUGUGCCAGCAGCCGCCGCAGUAA